rnacentral:lncRNA from 1 species
AGACGAGUUUUCACCAUAUUGGCCAGGAUGGUCUCAGUCUCUUCACGUCGUGAUCUUCCUGCCUUGACCUCCUGAAGUACUGGGAUUACAGGCGUGAGCCACCAUGCCUGGCGGGGAAAAUUCUAAAAGCCAUAUUAUAUAAAACUUGGAAAGAAAAGGACUAUUUGGUAAAAGCUUAUUCAGCUGUUAACAAUCUGAUUAAAUAAUCUUUUUAUUGCAAAUAUCAUUGAUUUCAACACAUGAACAAGGUGACUGGCUUUUACACCAGAGCUGUAAGUCUUAAGAAGUGGGAUGAUUUUAUUUCUCCCUAGGUUUGCUAAAGCAAUGCCUGUCCACAUAGCGUGCCAUAAUGUUCUACCCUCUCUGAUUUGCAUUGUGACUCAAUGAAUUAAAAUCUUGAUAUGCAGGUCAUCUCUCCUAGGUUGGAAAUGAUACUGAGUUAAACCAUGCCUGAUGUUCAAAGAAUUAUUUUAUGCUAUGUGAAUGACAAACAGCAUCUGGAAAAAUGUAUCUCAGGUCUCUUCCCCUGCUGUUGUUUUUAAAUCGUAAAAUGCAGCAGCUUGUAUACUCUAUAAUAACCUUUUUCUGUUUGUUCCUAAGCAGAAAAAGAAAGGAAUUAAUUCUACAAGAUUUUCAGACCUCCAUCCUAAGUGAAGAUACAUUGCAAGCUUCUUUUUAAAACUUUGCUAAAGAGUCAUUUAAUCUUCCCUGUUAUAUGCAGACAGUCCCAACUUAUGUUAGCUCUUCUUAUGAUUUUUUGACAUUACAAUGGUG